rnacentral:misc_RNA from 1 species
GAUGAAGAACGUAGCGAAAUGCGAUAAGUAAUGUGAAUUGCAGAAUUCAGUGAAUCAUCGAAUCUUUGAACGCACAUUGCGCCCGCCAGUAUUCUGGCGGGCAUGCCUGUUCGAGCGUCAUUACAACCCUCAGGCCCCCGGGCCUGGCGUUGGGGAUCGGCGGAGCCCCCCGUGGGCACACGCCGUCCCCCAAAUACAGUGGCGGUCCCGCCGCAGCUUCCAUCGCGUAGUAGCUAACACCUCGCAACUGGAACGCGGCGCGGCCAUGCCGUAAAACCCCAACUUCUGAAUGUUGACCUCGGAUCAGGUAGGAAUACCCGCUGAACUUAAGCAUAUCAAUAAGCGGAGGA